AAGUUUCCAGAUUGCUGCAUCAUUUCUUACAUGAGAAGUGGCAAGUGCAAGUUUGAUCUUGCUUAAAGGAAUCUGUGCAUGCUUUUUGACGCUAAGCUGUAGCUUUUUGCUUGUAGAAUAAGUUGAUCACGCAGUCCUUUAAAUGCUUCAGUGCUCAGUCUUCAGUAGCAUCUAAUCAAGAAGAGGAAGAUUGGGGGUAUGCGGAGGCCUGAGGGCAUUUUUUUGCUGGUUGGGGUUUGGCUGAAGUGGUACUGUCGCGGUGCAAGUGUUCAUUAGGUCAUGAACCGUCUCAGCUACCCAUUUCAGCUUACAUUGUUGACUAACAUUGUUUCUGGAAACGAACAUUCUUUAUACAAAUCCGUGGCAACUGAUGCAUUAAUGGCCUGAGCUAUUGCUCAUAUGAUAAUGGUUCCAUUGUAACCAAUGUAAGCAUCGUUUAUUCAAAAGAUGACAUUUAUCAUUAUAAAUGCUGACUUUGAUUGUUUAAAUUAUAUAGUAUUGAUUUUUUCUCUUCAGAUGUGUCAUAUUAUUUAUAUUGAAUAAAGUUCAACAGCUUUUAGUUAUACAGCAAUCAUAAUUUUUCUGAAACAGGGACGCCACCUUGUCUCAUAUACUGAUUGCAUUGAAAACUUCACUUGUAUAUUGGCAUAUUAUAUGUGGACCAAAUUUCAGAUGAUGUCAGCCAUGGCAUGUUUCUACUUUGUUUUGUUCAGCUGAAUUAUGCUUGCUUCUAGCGUUCACCAAUGCCAGCAUCUUAGAAAAAGAGGAUUCUAGCAUUAAGAGGGUGUUUUGUUUGUGAUCAAAAUCGAAAUUGGAAUUGAUUGGAAUGAUCAUAUCGCCUGAUGUAUUCAUUUUGUGAUCGGAAUUGAAUACAUUUUGUGAUCGGAAUUGAAAAUGGAAGGGAAUUUGAAUACUAAAGGAGAGUAAUGAUAAGAUUUUGAAAGAUUCAGGUAUUUCUAUUCCCUUCUGGAAUUGGAA
rnacentral:lncRNA from 1 species